UGGGGAAUAUUGCACAAUGGAGGGAACUCUGAUGCAGCGACGCCGCGUGAACGAAGAAGGCUUUCGCGUCGUAAAGUUCUUUUAUAUGGGAAGAUAAUCACGGUACCAUAAGAAAAAGCCCCGGCUAACUACGUGCCAGCAGCCGCGGUAAUACGUAGGGGGCUAGCGUUGUCCGGAAUCACUGGGCGUAAAGGGUUCGCAGGCGGAAAUGCAAGUCAGGUGUAAAAGGCAGUAGCUUAACUACUGUAAGCAUUUGAAACUGCAUAUCUUGAGAAGAGUAGAGGUAAGUGGAAUUUUUAGUGUAGCGGUGAAAUGCGUAGAUAUUAAAAAGAAUACCGGUGGCGAAGGCGACUUACUGGGCUCAUUCUGACGCUGAGGAACGAAAGCGUGGGUAGCAAACAGG
rnacentral:rRNA from 1 species